AUUGAACGCUGGCGGCAUGCCUUACACAUGCAAGUCGAACGGCAGCACGGGAGCAAUCCUGGUGGCGAGUGGCGAACGGGUGAGUAAUAUAUCGGAACGUGCCCGGUCGUGGGGAUAACGUAGCGAAAGCUACGCUAAUACCGCAUACGAUCUACGGAUGAAAGCGGGGGAUCGCAAGACCUCGCGCGAUUGGAGCGGCCGAUAUCAGAUUAGGUAGUUGGUGAGGUAAAGGCUCACCAAGCCGACGAUCUGUAGCUGGUCUGAGAGGACGACCAGCCACACUGGGACUGAGACACGGCCCAGACUCCUACGGGAGGCAGCAGUGGGGAAUUUUGGACAAUGGGCGCAAGCCUGAUCCAGCAAUGCCGCGUGCAGGAUGAAGGCCUUCGGUUGUAAACUGCUUUGUUACGGAACGAAACGGUAGAGACUCGUAAUACAGUUGCUAAUGACGGUACCGUAAGAAUAAGACACCGGCUAACUACGUAG
rnacentral:rRNA from 1 species